CUGGCGGCGUGCCUAAUACAUGCAAGUCGAGCGGACAGAUGGGAGCUUGCUCCCUGAUGUUAGCGGCGGACGGGUGAGUAACACGUGGGUAACCUGCCUGUAAGACUGGGAUAACUCCGGGAAACCGGGGCUAAUACCGGAUGCUUGUUUGAACCGCAUGGUUCAAACAUAAAAGGUGGCUUCGGCUACCACUUACAGAUGGACCCGCGGCGCAUUAGCUAGUUGGUGAGGUAACGGCUCACCAAGGCGACGAUGCGUAGCCGACCUGAGAGGGUGAUCGGCCACACUGGGACUGAGACACGGCCCAGACUCCUACGGGAGGCAGCAGUAGGGAAUCUUCCGCAAUGGACGAAAGUCUGACGGAGCAACGCCGCGUGAGUGAUGAAGGUUUUCGGAUCGUAAAGCUCUGUUGUUAGGGAAGAACAAGUGCCGUUCAAAUAGGGCGGCACCUUGACGGUACCUAACCAGAAAGCCACGGCUAACUACGUGCCAGCAGCCGCGGUAAUACGUAGGUGGCAAGCGUUGUCCGGAUUAUUGGGCGUAAGGGCUCGCAGGCGGUU
rnacentral:rRNA from 1 species